GCGUAACGCGUAUGCAACCUACCUUUAACUGGGAAAUAGCCCCGAGAAAUCGGGAUUAAUGUCCCAUAUUAUUCUUUGAAUGCAUAUUUAAAGAAUGAAAGCUCCGGCGGUUAUUGAUGGGCAUGCGUGACAUUAGCUAGUUGGUGAGGUAACGGCUCACCAAGGCAACGAUGUCUAGGGGUCCUGAGAGGGUUAACCCCCACACUGGUACUGAGACACGGACCAGACUCCUACGGGAGGCAGCAGUAAGGAAUAUUGGGCAAUGGACGCAAGUCUGACCCAGCCAUGCCGCGUGAAGGAUGACUGUCCUAUGGAUUGUAAACUUCUUUUAUGCAGAAAAAACAUCCCGGUCGAGGACCGGGACUGAUGUACUGUAUGAAUAAGCAUCGGCUAACUCCGUGCCAGCAGCCGCGGUAAUACGGAGGAUGCAAGCGUUAUCCGGAAUUAUUGGGUUUAAAGGGUGCGCAGGCGGAAUGAUAAGUCAGUGGUGAAAUCUCCCGGCUUAACCGGGAAACUGCCAUUGAUACUGUUAUUCUUGAGUAUAGUUUGAAGUGGGCGGAAUGUGUCAUGUAGCGGUGAAAUGCUUAGAUAUGACACAGAACACCGAUAGCGAAGGCAGCUCACUAAGCUGUAACUGACGCUCACGCACGAAAGCGUGGGGAUCAAACAGGAUUAGAUACCCUGGUAGUCCACGCUGUAAACGAUGAUCACUCGUUGUUGGCGAGUAUACUGUCAGCGACUGAGGGAAACCAUUAAGUGAUCCACCUGGGGAGUACGGCGGCAACGUUGAAACUCAAAGGAAUUGACGGGGGCCCGCACAAGCGGAGGAGCAUGUGGUUUAAUUCGAUGAUACGCGAGGAACCUUACCUGGGCUUAAAUGCAGGACGACGUUUCGUGAAAGCGGAAUUUCCUUCGGGACGUCUUGCAAGGUGCUGCAUGGUUGUCGUCAGCUCGUGCCGUGAGGUGUCGGGUUAAGUCCCAUAACGAGCGCAACCCUUAUCAUUAGUUGCCAUCAGGUCAUGCUGGGAACUCUAAUGAAACUGCCUACGCAAGUAGUGAGGAAGGUGGGGAUGACGUCAAAUCAGCACGGCCCUUAUGUCCAGGGCGACACACGUGCUACAAUGGCCAGUACAGAGGGUUGCUACCUGGUGACAGGAUGCUAAUCUCGAAAGCUGUCUCAGUUCGGAUUGAAGUCU
rnacentral:rRNA from 1 species